CAUCCUAAUUCCUAAGGAACUUAACCAAACAUGAAACAACAGAGUAAUCAACUUUGGAUAGCAGAAGUCUAGCUAUUUCCUUCCCAUGCACGAUGGUAGGAGACUGCAACACGUCAGUCUCCAGUGAUCCAUCAAUUUAGCAAUCCAGUUAGCUCUUGAUUAGGCCUGACUCUAUUUCUUAGCCACAAUAGGAUGGCUAUAUGGAGAUAACAGAUCCAUCAACCUAUACCUCUUCACUUUUUCCCCAACCAGCAGCACCGAUGCCAGACAUUUUGUUCAUAUAAGUUCCAGCAUCGCUAGAGGCUAGACCCCUGGAGAUAUCAGGACUUCCGACGAGUGGUAAAGGGGUUUGUUCGCCGGCAUUAGAUAGGGCGGCCGCCCUACCUUGCUCUACUAGUAGGUCCGUCACUGCUGCCAAGUAAGCCCCUAAACACUACCUUGCAGUCUCAUACUCUCAUUGACUGAGACAACAUAUCCUCUCCUAGAUCCUCACCAGAUUACAACCUUUGCUUGGCCAAUCAACUUUGUUUAAUUUUUUGGUGCAACUUAAUAUUGGUUUUAGUCUAUUUCAGCCCACUAACUAUCAGUGUCCCACGUCUAAUUGUGUUUAGGUGAAUGCUAUAUUAUUGGAGCCAAUGGCGGCGCGAUUUUUGUAACAUUGGGUGUACAUAAUUUUUUUAACAAAACUUAUGACUAUGUAUAAUAAAUAAAUAUUAACAACAACAUAUAAUAUAUUAUUAACAGUUUUAUCCCCUAUUUUUCGUGCACUUCAACUGAUUUCCUAAAUUUCUCCUACUUAAUAUUGAACUUUGUUCAUCUUUACGUGAAGAAAGAAAGGAAGAGUAGAAAAAAAAGAUAAAAAGAUCCUACAUCUAAGAAUGGAGUUGAAUGGAGUUGUCCUUAUGAUCUCCUAAAUUUCUUCUACUUAUUUUUCAUGUGUUUGAGCUCUUAAAAUGAUACGAGACCUUAAGUAGAGGCUUGAAUAGAGUUGUCCUUAUGACUCUAAUAUUUAUGGUCUCUUGUUAUGGAUGUG
rnacentral:lncRNA from 1 species